rnacentral:rRNA from 1 species
CUAGCGUUGCUCGGAAUCACUGGGCGUAAAGCGCACGUAGGCGGAUUGCUAAGUCAGGGGUGAAAUCCUGGAGCUCAACUCCAGAACUGCCUUUGAUACUGGCGACCUUGAGUCCGGGAGAGGUGAGUGGAACUGCGAGUGUAGAGGUGAAAUUCGUAGAUAUUCGCAAGAACACCAGUGGCGAAGGCGGCUCACUGGCCCGGUACUGACGCUGAGGUGCGAAAGCGUGGGGAGCAAACAGG